rnacentral:tRNA from 2 species
GAUAAUGUAGUUUAUUUUAAAAUUCCUAUCUUACACGUAGGAGAUAGAAUUGUUUCUUGUUAUCA